AAAAAUCACGACCCAACUCUAAGAUUUUCUCAUAAACUUUACUACAAACAACGAGCAGAUUCAAAUUACAGAACUCUUUUAUAACCUAUGAGACUAAAGCUAGUCACUCAACAGCCUACAAUAAAAUUGUUUGUAGCUACUCACUCAAACUAAUUUCUUAGUCUAGAACAAAAUAUUGUCAUUCAAGAACUCUUACAAAUAGCUUUCAGUACAAGCAAAACAAGACUACAACGCAAAACUCCUACUAUAAGAUCAAGACAAAACAAGCAAAACUUGAAUCUCUGAAACUGGGUUCUUCAUGUUGCCUUGCUCUUGGUUCUCACAAAGUUGUUGCUCACAAGAAGGAUUUCUCAUAUAUGCAUGCAGGUGCACAACCCUGCCAAAAUAAGCUUGUACCGUAUAUAUACUAGACGACUAGGAGUGAAAGAGUAAUCACCAAAUCUAAUAACCCUAACAAAUAAAGGAAGUAAAAGAUUCUUCGAUCUUCCAAGGAAGUAAAAUUUACUUCCGUACGUACUUCCUUAAUUCUUGGCCCAACGUCAACCCAUAAGAACCUGCUAAGAAUUUUUGCGUUACCGCGUGGCUACCCAUAAGUACGUACUUCGAUGCGCGAAGUAAAUCCAUUCUCGUUAGGACUCUGAGUUGUAUAGGAACCACCGGUGGAGCUAAGGUCUAAGAUAAGUUUGUUGAUCACCAAAACCAAAUUUUCAACACACUAUGCAUAUAAAGUAAUAAUGGGUAUGAUAUUGUUGUUGUUGUUGUUGUUGUUGUUGUUAUUGUUGUUGUUGGCAUAUAAAGUAAGAAAAAAAGUUAUAUAAAUAUAUAUUAGAUGUUGAAUCUGCCGAACUUCAUUGUGCAUAUAUUUUUUAAUUUUUUGAAAGUCUGAUGAUGAAAAUUCUAUCUGGUCACUUGCUAUAAGUUUUGGUACUACUAAUAUUUUUUCUUGUCUGUCCAAAGUAUUGCCUGCCUAGUUCUAACUUCUAAGCCGACUCAUAGAAUUAGUUAGUUAUUUAAUAAGAAAUAUUCUAGCUGAGAAACUGUUCAUCUUUUAAAAAAAUAUGCUCUAGCUUAAACUUCAAAAUCUACACAAUUUCUUUGAGCUUUUUAAUAAACGUUUGCAGUUCAAAUGCUUCUACAGCAAAUUAAAUUUAGAGGCUACCAGAAGGCAGCAAAAAUUUUUAAUUGAUCACCAGUUUUUGCAAUUCUAUGUUUAAAAAUGGUUUUAACUUAUGCGGUGCAAACUUUUCGCGUUUUGUAUCCCUCUUAUUACUAUUCUCAAAAACUCCACAAAUAUAAACCUAAUGAGACAUUUAAAACUUGGGGUUCACAACCAAAAGAUGGAGAGGUUGAUGGUACCACCAUGAACAAAGGAUCGAAAGGGUUGAGAAUUGGCUUUCUGUUGAGAAUUGGGAUUUUAAUGAUUAAAAAUUGUGUCCAGUGAACGUGUGAUAAGAACCAGGUGCUCAAGGUAGUUGUUGAACGCGUGCUAAGAACCAAGUCCUCAAGCUAGCUGUUGAAGAUUCUUACAAGGUACUAACUUUUAUACAAGAUUAUUAUAGCUCGAUAUUGCUGGAAAAGGACUCUUGAUGUGAUAAGGAUUGCUGCCCAAGAAUAUCUGCCCACAUAAGUGAUAGACAAGAGUCACAAGAUUCGUGGAAUCCUUGAAACUUUAUGAUUGCUGCCAAACAAGAAGUUGACUGUGUGUAGGACUCCCAAAUUUCUUAGAGUACUGGAAAGUUAAAUACUUUCCCUAUGGACUGAUAAGACCAUCCUUUUGCACAUCAACUAAAGAACGACAUACAUAAUUUCUAGUUCAACGCUUAAGUUGUUCAUCAGUGUGUACUGAAUGUCAGUGUUUUUCUUGAGUCUGUUAGUUCAUGUGCAUUAGAAAAUUGAGUUUUAAUCAAGAUACCAUUCAAAACUUAUUAUUUGGAGUAAUUGUUUGGGAAUGCAAGUUAGAGUAACUUGUAAUUUAUUUAAGUAGUUGAAGUAGGAGAAAUGUAUGGGUAUUGGUUUAUAGGUCUAGUAAUCAGUACAUUUAGCUCAACUGUUCUAGUGAAGUUGAAGUAAAAUUCCUACGUUGUAGGUCAUGAUAUUUUCACCUUUGAACCGGGUGAUUUUUUACAUAAAAAAUGUUGGUCUUAUUUUUACUGUUUAUUUAAGUUACGCGUAAGUAGUACGGCAAAUAACCAAGUUCUUUAGUAAUUUAGGAAUGCACUCAAAUUAACAAUUGGUAUCAGAGCAGGUUCUCUCAAACGUGGUUAAUAUCUAGAGAGAUCUUGGAAUUAAAUGAGUGCUCCGCUUGGAAUUAACCAUGGACAGUCAACUACUAGAUCAUCCCUGUUCAACGAAAAAUACUACAGUUGGAGGAAGACAAGAAUGGAGGAUUUUCUAAUGGCUGAGGACUAUGAACUAUGGACAAUAGUGAAUCGAGGACCACUAACUCCCACCAAAUAAAAUAGAUAAAAUGAAACUAUUCCCAAAACCCCUCUGAAUUUGUAGCAGUAGAUUUCAGGAUGAUGGAAUAGAAUGCAAAGGCCAAGAAGAUUAUCAUCCAUGGACUUAGUCAAGAUGAGUACAACAGGAUAUCUGCAUGUUCCAAUGCAAAGGAGAUCUGGGAUGCACUUCAAACUGCUUAAGAAGGAACAAAUCAAGUGAAGAGAUUAAAAAUUGAGUUUCUCAUGAGGAACUAUGAGCUCUUCUUUAUGAAGGAGUCUGAACCUAUUCAAGAGAUAAUGACUAGGUUCACUAUAAUAACAAAUGGACUGCAGUCACUGGAAAAAGGUACUUAUUUCUGAAGAACUAGUCAGCAAGGUUCUAAGGAUUCUGCCUGCUUCAUGGGGAUCAAAAGUCACACCCAUCCAGGAAGCCAAGGAGUUGGAUAAGAUUUCGUAGGACGAGUUCAUUGGAAGCUUAAAAACUCAUGAGAUGAGAAAGCUGGAACUACGCAAAGAGGAACCAAAGAGUAAUAAAACCUUGGUUCUUAAGGCAUCCAAAUAAGAUGAGUCUAAAAAUGAUGAACUGGACCUAGCAACGUUAGCUAAGUUCAAACAAUUCAUGAAGAAUUUCAAGAAUGCAUCUAACAGAUAAAACAAUGGCAAACCUAGGCAGAUUAACAAGGCUUUAUACAAUGGGUGUUACAAAUGUAACAAACUUGACCAAAUGGUCAAAGAUUGCCCAAUGGGGGAAAUUUAGUGGAAGAAAGAAAGAGUUGAAAAGAGAAAAGGGAAAGGAUGAAAUAUGAGGCCUAAACAAAGGCAAAAUCCUAGGCAAGGGGUUCAGUGAGGCCAUGAAACAAGCCUUUCUAGCAACAUAUGAAGACAGUGGAAGUGAUAAAGAGGAGGAGAAAGAGGACAAGGCUGUUAGUCUUUAUGUUGUGAUCGAUUCACACGAGGUUGUUGAAGUUGAACCCCCUGUACAACUAGGAAUACACAUUGAAAUACCCCCUCCUUUUGAUGGACACCACUAUGAUGAAUGGAAGAUGCAUAUGGAUUCGGUGUUGUUCACAAAAUAAAGUAGGAGGAUCACAAUCCUCCAAAGAGACAGGUGGAUUGGGCCCGGCGUGAAGGGGUAAGUGUAAUCACUUAAAUAUCCUUCCAUAUGAGUAGUAAUAUCGUCCUCAGGCUCGGGGACUACCACAUCCUUACCUCCCCAUUUACAGUCCUCUCGGACUAUAGGAAUGGUAUCUUCGGUAAUGGAGCAUAGAUAUCUCGAUGCCCAUUCACCUCGGUCCUGUUUGGAUGAGGCCUUCUCGGUUUUGAAGUCGUCAGCGAUUGAGCACCCCCCGGGAAUAAAGCUUUUCAUGGGGGGCUCUAGGGCCGCUUCUAUAAUAGCUACUUCGAGAGCAACCACCUCGGGAACAACCGUCUCGAGAGCAACCACCUCGGGAAUGGCCGCCUCGGUACUUGUGGCCGGGUGGGAAGAUGAAGAGGCAAAUUGUUAAGGAACUGAUUUGGAAGUCUUGGCCAUCGUGAUCCAAAAAAUAUGAAGAUUUAAAGGAUAAAUAUGAAGAUUUGAACAAAAGGUAUGAAGGUUUGAAGGAUAAAGUAUGAAGGUUUGAAGGUAGAAUGAAGAUCCGGGUAGAAACAUAAGAACAAUUAUGAAGAUUUGAAAAUCAAAGGCUAAAAGAUAAAGAUUUGAAAGAGUUGAUAGCCGCUAAAGAAUUCGAAGGUAAAAUAUAGGAUCGGAAAGUGUAAGAAGAACAUAAGGUCGAUGUUUUUAUAGGAGAAAAUGUAAUCAAUACGUGACGUUUCACAUUCGAAGGUGACCAACCGAUGAUUGACACGUGUCUGAAGUCAGAGUGAAGCGACUGAUGGGACGUUUCGGCUUAUCCACCAUCUCGGUUGUAACGUACGAAAGGAACCGGGGUUCAUCUAUCGUUUCCCAUCAUUUCAGCGAACCUACACUCUAAGAAACGAGGGUACUAUCUGUAUACGGGUGAACUCAGGGUUAGCACACACCCCGAGUUCCUAGCGAGUCAAACGAGGUAGGAAGUAUGAAUUUAUGGGAUAGAGACCGAAUCUGAUAACUCCUUGAGAUGAGUCCGGAAUGGGGUGCUCGCCACCGGGCCUAACAAGACAACGCCCUCCCCCGACCCUGACCCCGGAACGAGCUCCAAGACCUCAUAAAGCACUGCAAACAGUUGCACACGACUAAUAGAGGACUGUGAUAUCCACACCCAACUAGAUAUCAUGGCGCGGAUCUCGUCCGAUGUCGAUAGUGUAUCAGUAAUUGAUGUACAAGGAGGAUUUUUACCUUUUUUAGAAUUGUACUAGGUGUAAAACUCCCCAACUAUAUAAAGAGGAAGUUUUUUAUUCAAUAGUCACAUUGUAACACGCAUGUCAAGGCAAUACAAACUUAUUUCUCUGCUUUCUAGCUAUGGAAAGGUUCUUAUUUUAAUCAUAAUUCUCCAUACAUAUUUGGCUUCGAAUCGAGGGUCCGGUCGAUGGCAAAACUACCAUUAAGCUUAAACCCGAGCCCAGAUUCAACGUCACGAUCGGUUUGGUUAUUUAUUUUAUCUUCAAUUCGUUUAUCUGAUAUUCUUGAUUACUUGUGUUGAAUCAAUCCACUUAUCCUUAAAAUCGCAUGCAAAUUUAAUUGUUAUUCGUUUUAAGGGUAAACAGAUCACAAAAGAAGAAACUAAUGGAGUGCCAACCACUUAUAUUUGUAUAUACUACUACUAUACUCUCUCAUCAGCAGCGUGUAGAACCAGUUUUGAUUUUUAAUUUGAAUGAGCACCACAUUAUUGGAAUAUAAAUGUGAUAAACCAAAAAUAUGGCAGAUAGCCUAACAAAAAAUGAAUAUUGAUGGUUACCAUUAACAAAUACACGAAACGAAUGAAAAGAAAAUAAAAAAGGCCGGCGGAUAAAAAUUGAUUGGAGUUGCACUAGAUAAAGAUGCAAAUGCAAUCAGCUCUCAUAUUUCCGGUCCCUACCAAAACAGAUACUUAAACAUCACAUGACUAAACAAGUUGAGAUUGCUUCAAGAACAAGAAUUGAUAUAUUCGAGGAUUGUAAUGAGAGGGAUAUGAUUACUUCACCCUUAAUAGAGUUAUUCGGUUUAAGCUUUCGAAAUAACAAAAUUUUUAGUAGAGAAUACUUUCUUUUUAAUGGAUCUUAAUUAUGCAACGCAAAUUCAAAUUAAUGGAAGCUCAAAGCCUUCAAUGCGGGUACAAACCAGACAUUGGAUGGAAAAUAAAAAUGAAUUAAUACAUUUCUUAUUUACUACAAACAUAAACGUUUACGAUAUCGAGAAGCCAGCAUAUGUUUUUCUUUUCUUCCACAUAUUGAUAAGGAUAUUUAAGAACUUCAUUUAAAGAAUAUGUAUCAAACUCAUUGGAUUAUUGUUCAUGAUGUCCACUGAUUAUGAUGCCAAAUUAUCAACACCGUCCAAGUCUGAAGAUGGCAAAAUUUUGUUGGAUGGUUACUGGCUAGACAAUAUUGACGAAUAUAAUUUUAGAAAAUGGGACACAUCUACAUGUCAAAGUCAUUUUAGCAGGUACUAUGUUCGAUGUUCAUUUCUGACUUUAUUUAGUGCUGACUAAAUUAAUAUAGUGCUUUAGAUCGAGCGGAAGGGAUUCAUACCGACCCUCUUCACUAAAAUAUUACAUUAUGUUAGAAUUAUGCACACAAAAGAAUGCUUUCCUUUUAUUGGGUCUUAAUUAUGCAACGCAAAUUCAAAUUAAUAAAAGCUCUCAACCUUUAAUGCGGGUACAAACCAGACAUUGGAUGAAAAAUAAAAAAGAAUUAAUACAUUUCUUAUUUACUACAAACAUAAACGUUUAUAAUAUCGAGAAGCUAGCAUAUGUUUUUCUUUUCUUUCACAUAUUGAUAAGGAUAUUUAAGAACUUCAUUUAAAGAAUAUGUGUCAAACUCAUUGGAUUAUUGCUCAUUAUGUCCACUGAUUACGAUGCCAAAUUAUCAACACCGUCCAAGGUCUGAAGAUGGCAAAGUUUGGUUGGAUGGUCACUGGCUGGACAAUAUUGACGAAUAUAUAAUUUUAAAAAAUGGGACACAUCUGCACGUAAAAGUCUUUUUAGCAGGUACUAUGUUCGAUGUUCAUUUAUGACUUUGAUUUAGUGCAGACUAAAUUAAUAUAGUGCUUUAGAUAGAGCGGAAGGGUUCAUUCUUGCUCUCUCCAUCUGAAAAUUAUAUUAUAUUAGAAUUAUGCACUAUUUAUACACUAAAGGGGUGAAUAGUAUAUCGAUUCAUUAAAAUUUCUAUUCAGAAUUUUUUCAUUAUCCUCAAAACCUAGUUCUAAAAAGAUUUUUGUUGCUCCAAAACAAUAACAAGUGCGGAAAAUAAAGAGGACAUAAAUUUUACGUAGCGAACUUCUUUGCUCAAGAGAGUAAAAAUCACGACUCAACUCUAAGAUUUUCUCAUAAACUUCACAACAAAAAACGAGCAGAUUCAAGUUACAGAACUCUUUUAUAACCUAAGAAACUAAAUCUAGUCACUCAACAGGCUACAACCAAAUUGUUUGUAGCUACUCGCACAAAACUAAUUUCUUAGUCUAGAAAAAAAAAUUGUCAUUCAAGAACUCUUACAAAUAGCUUUGAGUACAAGAAAAACAAGACUACAACUCAAAACUCCUACUAUAAGAUCAAGACGAAACGAACGAAACUUGAAUUUCUAAAAUUGGGUUCUUCACGUUGCCUUGCUCUUGGUUCUCACAAAGUUGUUGCUCACAAGAAAGAUUUCUCAAAUAUGUAUGCAGGUGCACAACCCUGCCAAAAUAAGCUCGUACCAUAGAUAUACUAGACGACUAAGAGUGAAAGAGUAAUCACCAAAUCUCAUAACCCUAACAAAUAAAGGAAGUAAAAGAUUCCCUUCGAUCUUCCAAGGAAGUAAAAUUUACUUCCGUACGUACUUCCUUAAUUAUUGGCCCAAUGUCAACCCAUAGAACCUGCUAAGAUUUCCUGUAUUAUCGCGUGGCUGCCCGGUCAUCAUAGUAUACAUAGGCGAUGCACGAAGUAAAUCUCAUUCUCGGUAGGACACUGAGUUGUAUAGGAACCACCAAUAGAUCUAAGGUCUAAGAUAAGUUUGUUGAUCACCAAAACCAAA
rnacentral:lncRNA from 1 species